GGCUUAACAAUUACUACAUUUUUUACGAAUAAAUAGAUAUAGUACAAGAUAUCAGGUAAAUGCAGUUGGAAAAAUCAGUGAAAAUGAUUCCCAAAGGAAAUUACAUGAAUAGAAUUCUCUCCAAAGUGGGAAAUAAACCACUUUCUACAGAAGGACCAAAAAAAGGAAAAAGAAACUACAAUAAAUCAAAAGGCAACACCUCCGUCAGGAAGUUCCCAGUUAUCUUCCCCAUCGUCAUCCCUCUUGCUCUUAGUCGUUUCUUGCUUAUCAUCUGAGAAAUUUCUUGGUGGGCCACGUCUUCUACGAUUGCGCCUAGCAGCGUCACGCGUCCUGCGCUUCUUCUCAUCUUGCGAGUUCUCAAAAUAUCUCCUACGCUUGCACUCCUGGAUUACCCCAGCUCUCAUAACCUCCCUCCUAAAUCGGCCGAGAAGCUUUUCUUCCGGUUCAUUAUCACCCACAAUAACCUGAACAUUAUAAGCCGAUCUGAAGUAAAGGGUGUUCGCAUAAGCAAGUGAGGGACAAGUUACGGCCAUAACAUCGGAAUCAGAAGACGAUACUGGUAAUAUUGGGUAUUUGUGAUUGUCAUUGGAUGAAACGACCAUUGACGAAGAAUCAUUGUUAGGUCUUGAACAAGUGAGAGAAUCAACGGCGGAGGGAGAGAAUUGAAGGGUUGGAGCUUUGGGUGUUGGGGGUUUGGAAGGGUUGAAGAAGGAGAAGAGAUUGGCUACGGAUGAGACAGCCAUUUGAGGAUUGGAAUGAAGUUGUGGAGAGAGCUAACUGUAUCCUUUUGGAUAAA
rnacentral:misc_RNA from 1 species